UACGUAGGGGGCUAGCGUUGUCCGGAAUCAUUGGGCGUAAAGAGCGUGUAGGCGGCCCGGUAAGUCCGCUGUAAAAGUCAAAGGCUCAACCUUUGAAUGUCAGUGGAUACUGCCGGGCUAGAGUCCGGAAGAGGCGAGUGGAACUCCUGGUGUAGCGGUGGAAUGCGCAGAUAUCAGGAGGAACACCGAUGGCGAAGGCAGGUCUCUGGGCCAUAACUGACGCUGAGAAGCGAAAGCAUGGGGAGCGAACAGG
rnacentral:rRNA from 1 species